rnacentral:rRNA from 1 species
GACGAACGCUGGCGGCGUGCUUAACACAUGCAAGUCGAACGGAAAGGCCUCUUUCGGGGGGUACUCGAGUGGCGAACGGGUGAGUAACACGUGAGUAACCUGCCCUUGACUUUGGGAUAACUUCAGGAAACUGGGGCUAAUACCGGAUAGGAGCUCCUGCUGCAUGGUGGGGGUUGGAAAGUUUCGGCGGUUGGGGAUGGGCUCGCGGCUUAUCAGCUUGUUGGUGGGGUAGUGGCUUACCAAGGCUUUGACGGGUAGCCGGCCUGGGAGGGUGACCGGCCACAUUGGGGCUGGGAUACGGCCCAGACUCCGACGGGAGGCAGCAGUGGGGAAUAUUGCACAAGGGGUGGAAGCCUGAUGCAGCAACGCCGGGUGCGGGAUGACGGGCUUCGGGUUGUAAACCGCUUUCGCUCAUGACGAAGCUUUGUGUGACGGUAGUGGGUAAAGAAGCACCGGCUAACUACGUG